CACUGGAUAGGCUCAGUCGGGGGAGCAUGAGUCUCUUAAUCUCAGGGUUGUGGGUUCGAGUCCCACGCCAGGCAAAAGA